rnacentral:lncRNA from 1 species
UAAUAUAAGUGCGGAAAUAUAAGACAAGCCCGACAUUGGGGUGUCACCAAUUAUGAGCAACUACAACUCGUCUAGGAACAAGAAAAGACAACAUUGUCCGAAAAUAAAAUAAUAAGACAAUCUAAAUAAGAUAGGAAGGAGAAGCACUGGGUUGCGAAUGCCAAGCAGCUACCUAGUCAACUCCGGAGACCUGCUGGAAGACUGAUCAGCACUCAUUAUCGCGCCUCAAGACUCCUGGAUUUGCACACAAGGUGCAAGGAGUAAUGUGAGUACGCAAACUCAGUAAGUAAUAAAAGUAAAGGCAACUGAGCAGUAAGAAACAGGUAAUUUCACGUCAUAGAACCACAACAAAAUAGUAUAUGUGUAGGAUCAAUACAGUAAAUCAACAAAACUCAUAAAAAUAGCUCAGUUCAGUAAAACCUUUUUAAAACAUCUUUCAAUAGUUUCAAACAAGUGAUAAAAACAGUGAGUAAAGGAUAGAAAUGUAAACAGCCCCUCGGGCAAAACAUGUACCACAACCGCCCCUCGGGCAAAAUAUCAACAGAACCAGCCCCGCGGGCUACCUCACAAUCACUCGUAAUCAGCCCCUCGGGCAAUAACAUGAAACAGCAAUAGCCCCUUGGGCAAUAUCACAUCUCCCACUGGGUACCCGUGCUCAUUGGGGGUGUUCAGACUCCGGGGGGGCUCCUACAGCUCAAGCGCUAGGGCAAUAUCACAUCUCACACUGGGUACCUGCGCUACCUGGGGGUGUUCAGACUCCGAAAGGGCUCAUACAGCCCAAGCGCUAUCAUAAGUCAUCUCGUGGCAUAUCAAAUCAGGCCUUCGGCCUCUCAUAUAUCACAAAUCAGUACACAUGCUGCGGCGCGCAGUCUGAUCCCAUAAUAAUCCUCACAACACAGGCCCUCGGCCUCACUCAAUCAGAAACCUCUCAAGCCACUCGGGUAACAGUAAACAUGAUGCUCAGCCCAAAAUAUCAUUUAAAAUAUAAAAACGGAGUAAAUACGGCUGAGUUAUGAAAAUAGUAGAAUACAGCAUGACUGAGUAUAAGUAUGAAGUCAAAACAGCGAGGAAUAGUAGUAAAAUGCCCCUAAGGGUCCAAAACAGUUGGCACGAGGCCCAAAUAUGGAAUUCAGCCCAAAACAUGGUAAUAAUUUUCCAAAGCACAAUGAUAUCAAACAGUUUUCAAUCAAAUACGCGACUUAGCAGUCAUAUGGGACGGACUAAGUCACAAUCCCCAACGGUGCACGACCCCACGCUCGUCAUCUAGCGUGUGCAUCAACUCAAAGUAGCACAACGAUGUAAAAUUCAGGGUUUUAUACCCUCAGGACAACAUUUACAAUCAUUACUUACCUCAAUCCAGUUCAAACUCUAGCCCGCGAUGCCUUUGCCCCUCGAAUCGGCCUCCAAUUGCUCCAAAUCUAACCAAAAUUAGUAUCUUAUCGUUAAUACGCGCUAAAGGAACAAAGCCCAAGCGAAAAUAAUCAAAUUACAUCCCGAAAUUGGACAAACCCGACCCCCGGGCCCACGUCUCGGAUUCCCAUAAAAAUUAAAAAACUAGAAUCCUUACACUCCCAUGAGUUCAUACAUAUCAAAUACAUCAAAAUCCGACCACAAACAGCCCUCAAAUCCCUAAAUCAAAGUCUCCAAUUUCAAGCCUUAAUUCCCCAAUUUUAGGCUUUAAAUCCCAUAAAUUUCAUGUCUAAUUAAGUAGAAAUUAUCAUAGAAUCGAGUAUUGAGUUCAAAAAUCUUACUUCCAAGUAUUUCCCUUCGAUUCUCUCUUCAAUCCCUCUCAAAAAGCUUCAAAACCGCUCAACAAUGGUGGAAAUAGACCAAAAAUCACGAAGGCCACUAUUUAAACAUUCUGCCCAGGUGUGAUUUCCUUCUUUGCGAAUGCGGUCAAAGCCUCGCAUUCGUGAAAUACAAAAAUCCAUUGACUAAUUAUUCCUCCUUCUCGAAAGCGAUUCUUCAACCGUCCGAGCCUUCGCGAACGUGACUAUACCCACGCGAACGCGAAGCACAAAAUCCUGGGGACCCAGCUGUUCCAGUUACUCUACGCGAACGCGGGACGUACUUCGCGUUCGCGAUGCACACUCUGCCUCACCCUUCGCGAACGUGGGACCAACAUUGCGAACGCAAAGGGAAAUUCUCCUGCCUCACUUCACAUCCCUUCGCGAACGCGAGAACCCCCUCGCGAAUGCGAAGGACAAAUCUCUGCAACACAGAACUGAAGAAAUGUGCAACUUCUAAAAACAAGAAUUUUUAUCCGUUAACCACCCGAAACUCACCUGAGGCCCUCAGGACCUCAAAUAAACAUGUCAACACAUCUCAUAAUAUCAUUCAAACUUGUUCCAACCUUCGGAAUUAUCACAUCCCAAAUUACUCCCUAAACGUGACUAGCACCUGGCUAACACCACCCGCUAGGCGAACCAUACUUUCAUACCUUAACCAUUAAUUUGUAAUAUUUAGUUAAUUAUGAGUAUCCAAAUAAUUUGAUAAUUAAUUAUCAACAAUUGGUAUCUCAAAUUAUUAAAUUAAAACUUUAGCAAAAAUUCUACACUAGACCAUGGAGCAUCUAAGAGAAUUACAAAAGACAUCAUAUGGAUAAAUGAUAAAGACUCUUUUGGCAACCUCUACGAACAAUGCGGCGGUUUACCUCAAUAACUGAAUCAACUCCAGCGAACUCGUCAGCUAUUAGCUCCGUCUUCACCAAUGGUAUCUGCAUAGACAUGUAGAUAAGGAGUGAGAUAUAUGUAAAUAUAACUCAGUAAGAUCCUCGACCCGCAACUUUAAAUACCUCUGGAACAAAUGUUGGAAAAUACAAACAUACCACAACAUGAAUGAUAUAGUAACUACGAUAAUUAUACAAUAACUCAAUAUAUGUGUAUCAUAAGAGUUAUUAAAAAUUAACCAACAAGGAUACCCACUAAGGACUUAUCAUAAUUGCAGUGAAAGAAAUAUACCAACACACUACGAGUCCACAAUGACACCACAAUGUCUCAAAUAUGUAACAGAGCAUACACAAUGCUCGGGUGAUGUACAAAGGCAUGCACAAUGCCCCAACAUCAUGGUACACAGUCAUAUCAAACUCGACAUCAUAGCGCACAGCCGUAUCAAACGCAACAUCAUGGCGCACAGCCGUAUCAAACUCAAUAUCAUGACGCACAACCGUAUCAAACUCAACAUCAUGGCACACAGUCGUAUCAAACUCAAUAUCAUGGCGCACAGCCGUAUCAAACUCAAUACCAUGGCGCACAGCUGUAUCAAACUCAAUAUCAUGGCGCACAGCCGUAUCAAACUCAAUAUCAUGGCGCACAGCCAUAUCAAACUAUAAAACUCAACCUAUGGCGCACAGUCGUAUCACACUAUCAAACAACUUAUAAAAUAAUAUUUGUUUUUUUCAUAAAAUAAUAUAUUUGCAGCUAGUCUAAGACCAUCGAUUCUAUCAAGCGCACGCUUGUCCCAACACAUAGACCGGGCAAAGAAAACAUAUUUUUAAAACGGGUUUUAGAAAAGCAAGAAUCAAAGCUUAAAGUAUCACUUACCUUGCUAACAGAAAGUUCCGCAAACCUUGCAACAUCUAGAAUCCCAAUCAAACGGGCCUCAAUGACUUCAAUCUAUGUAAAAUAUAAAUGAAUAAUUUCAAUUAUACUAGUGAGGUCCAAUUCUAUUCUUUCCUUAAUGUCAGGCUUAGAAUUACAUCUUAAUAUUCUACACCUCAACUCAUGAAUAUAUAAAAAAAAAAAUCAUGAUAUUAAAGUACAAUUUGGUACUCAAUAUAUGACCUGCUAACCAGUUGACUAAUCCUUCAGUUAUACACAUUCAAACACUAGUUCAACAUAAAAUUAUCUCUAAACAUAAUAUGACAGAGUGUUCUUUUUGCAAAUAUACGUGGACAUAUUUUGAAAUGUGAAGUUCAAAUCUUAUUUACAUAAGUAUAACUAAUCAAACAUUGUAGCAAAUAUCUGAAACGUAUUUCCUAUGCAAGGUUCCAAAAAAAAAUUAACUUUAAAAAUGUAACUCUCGAAAAGUUUUGUCUAUUAUUAAAGAGNNNNNNNNNNNNNNNNNNNNNNNNNNNNNNNNNNNNNNNNNNNNNNNNNNNNNNNNNNNNNNNNNNNNNNNNNNNNNNNNNNNUCAUUGACUAAUAUUUUUUUUGGUGGAAAAACUAACAAAUUUAGGACUGAAGCAUAACUUUUAUUAUUAAUGUAGUCCUAUCAAAAUCAACUACAAAAGAUUCCAUUAUAAUCAUAAAUGACCGAAUUCGAAUGCACCCGGAUACAUGGUUAUACGCUGAGAAAGAAUGUUCGAUCUUCAAAACAAGUAAUGGUAGAUUAAUCAAAAUAUAAUUAAUAUAUUCUAAUUUUGCGAUAGCGAUUCAUUAUUUUAUAAUCAUUUGAAAAUAAUUACAAGAGUAUUUUUUAUUGAUAAAAAAUAGUUACAAUUUUUAUUUGAAUCACGGGAAAAAAUAAAUAUGAUUCUCUUUUGUUAGUUGUUAACCGGAUUGUUUCUUCUAGAAUGAACUUAAGAAUAUAUAGCUUUCCAAUAAAAAUUCAGAAAAAAAAAACUCUUAAAUCUCAAGGAUAUGUAUUCAAAAAUUAAAGUAAUGUAAUUAUAAAACUGGGUAAUAUUUAAGUUGAGUAUAUAGUGACUGAGAUGAUUGAGGGUUUCUAUGAGAUUGAGUUUCUUCCUAUUAUCGAGUUAUCUAAAUAUGUUCAACAAUCAUUAUUUUUAGGAGUCACUUUUUCUAUUUAACUUCUGUCAUAUACCUCAAACAACCUUUUACUAAAAUACUAAUGUGAAUUUUUUUAAAAUUUAAUUUAUUGAGACAGGACCCAAAAUUGGCCUUGGCCUCCCACAUGUAUAAGCCCUUUGUGAAAGGCAUCUCGAAUUUUCCUUUUGUAUCAAGUAAAUCCAGAAAAUUGGUCUUGGCCUCCCAAACAUUAUGUGCCUUUUACUUUACUGUUUUUCCAGCAUUUGUGUGUGUGUGUGUGUGUUUGUCUUAGCUUGAGCACGAGUUUGUGUUUGUUUCUUGGUUAGGACUGAAGCUUGGAGCAGCAUAUAAGCUGUCUAGUUGUCCGCACGUAGCUUACUUGAGUUAAGCCCGUGACAAGUGGUAUACAUAUAUAUAAGGGCCAAUAAGAGAUGAGUUGGCACCUCUCCAAAGCCAAGAUGCACAUUUAUCUUUUUCUCAUUUUUUUUGCCAUUCUUUCCCUUUUUUUCCUUCCCUUUUUCCUUAUUUUUAAAAUCGUUGAUGUUCAUGUGUUAGAACUCCAAAUGUUGCAUCUUUAGCUGAAAGCUACCUCUUUAAUUCCUAAUAACUACACCUUAAAUGUCUCUUCGAACGGACUUUACAAAGAGUCCAAACAUUUCCUCUUUAUCCAAACGUUUUCUCUUUAAUUCCUAAAUAACUACAAAUGAAAUGCCUUUUAAUAGGCUUUACAAAGCAUUCAUCGUUCAAAGUUCACUUUUCAGUAUUAUUUAUCCACUAAUGAAGUUGCCCGCGCAUACAAGACAUCAAUAUUAAAUUUAUAAAAUGAUAUUUUCGACUUCUUGUUGUUGUUACUAUUCUAUUAUCGUAUUUUAUCUUGUGCAGAGGUUCUAUUCGGAAACAGCCUCCCUACUCCAUGGUAGGGAUAAGGUCUGCAUUACACACUACCCUCCCUAGACCCCACUUGUGAAAUUAUACUGGGUUGUUGUUGUUGUUGAUAUUUUUGACUUCUUGUGAAAAGAAGAAAUGAAAAAGUUUCAUGUAACCUUGACCAAUCUAUAACUAAUUUGAAUUAUUUAUUUCUUUUUCACUUUGAGUUAUAAGUUUGACUUUAAUAUACAUUCCAUCCAAUAUAAUUUGAACUAUUUAGCUAAUUUUUUUUUGUUUUUGUUUUGAAGGCUACUUUGCUAUUUGAAACAAAUCUACUCGUAUUUCUUCCACAACUACCUUAAAGAUGAAUUUUCUGGCCAAGAUAUAAUAUUUUUCAUAUUGAUAAAAUGCCUAGUUUUAUUUUUCAAAAUAAUAGGAAGCUGGAUUUUUCUCUUUGAUCGAUCAGAUCAAUUGGAUUAUCAAUUUCAUUUUCAAGGGAAAAAAGUUCUCUAAAACUUUGAAAAAUAAUUAAUAAUAUAGCUGCUGGUCUUAGGUCUAUAUAGAACUACACUAAAUAACAAAAAAAUCAAAAUCAAUAAGAUAUUGACAACAACUAAACUAAUGACAAUAUUUGACAUGUAAAAUAUUUUUAUGAAUAUAAAAUAACUGAAGAAACUUAUGAUAAUUAAAGUAAUUUUAUGAGAUAAAAUUCAGAUAUGACCUACUGCCUUUGGGAUUGUUUAUAUGAAGAAUCAAUCUAAAUAAACAUUCACCCAAUCGCUUAAACUUAAAAUAGCCCGUGGAUGUAUAAUUUGUAAAUAAUCCAUGUAUAAUCAUCAUCCGCAAAAAGAAAAAGACGAAAGAGAACAAAAAAAAUGUAAAAGAGAAAGGAAAAAACAAAUAAAUCCCACAAAUUAGACAUUAGCAAAAAAGACGAAAAAGUGAGAAAUUGAGAAUACAAGAGAUUAAAAAAUGUUAAGGUAUUCAAUAAUCUAUAUAAUAGUAGAGAAAACAUCAAAUAUCAAAUACUGCUCAAAUUAUAAAACAAAACGUAUGCAACAUUGAGUACCAAUACAAUAGUAUUAAAAAUAAAAAAGAGGAGUAAAAGAUCCCUAUAUCAGUGGUGGAAAAUGACAAAAAUAAGUUAGCCACAAUAACAAAGAAAUCAAUAAUAGAGAUUGAAUGACAAAAAAGUGAGAAUGCAAGAGAUUCUAGGAAGAAGGAAUUCUGAAAGCUACAAGUUUAAAGUGGAAAAUCAAAAGGCAGAAGAGGUAAUAACAAAUGUAUGGAAAAUCAACAUCAUGGCACACAAUCGUAUCAAACUCAAUAUCAUGGCGCACAGCCGUAUCAAACUCAAUACCAUGGCGCACAACCGUAUCAAACUCAAUAUCAUGGCGCACAGCUGUAUCAAACUCAAUAUCAUGGCGCACAGCCAUAUCAAACUAUAAAACUCAACCUAUGGCGCACAGUCGUAUCACACUAUCAAACAACUUAUAAAAUAAUAUUUGUUUUUUUCAUAAAAUAAUAUAUUUGCAGCUAGUCUAAGACCACCGAUUCUAUCAAGCGCACGCUUGUCCCAACACAUAAACCGGGCAAAGAAAACAUAUUUUUAAAACGGGUUUUAGAAAAGCAAGAAUCAAAGCUUAAAGUCUCACUUACCUUGCUAACAGAAAGUUCCGCAAACCUUGCAACAUCUAGAAUACCAAUCAAACGGGCCUCAAUGACUUCAAUCUAUGUAAAAUAUAAAUGAAUAAUUUCAAUUAUACUAGUCAGGUCGAAUUCUAUUCUUUCCUUAAUGUCAGGCUUAGAAUUACAUCUUAAUAUUCUACACCUCAACUCAUGAAUAUAUAAAAAAAAUCAUGAUAUUAAAGUACAAUUUGGUACUCAAUAUAUGACCUGCUAACCAGUUGACUAAUCCUUCAGUUAUACACAUUCAAAAACUAGUUCAACAUAAAAUUAUCUCUAAACAUAAUAUGACAGAGUGUUCUUUUUGCAAAUAUACGUGGACAUAUUUUGAAGUGUGAAGUUCAAAUCUUAUUUACAUAAGUAUAACUAAUCAAACAUUGUAGCAAAUAUCUGAAACGUAUUUCCUAUGCAAGGUUCCAAAAAAAAAUUAACUUUAAAAAUGUAACUCUCGAAAAAUUUUGUCUAUUAUUAAAGAGCAAGUUUAUUGUUAUAAUUUAUUUUUAUUCUCGAGGUGUGACCAGUAUAAUCAUGUCUGACAUAAUCCCUUUACUCUCACACUUAAUUCUUGUCACCAUUAUACAAAGAACUAAUAAGAAUAUCUCUCUUAAAUUAAUACAAGAAAUAUAGCUAUAGGGAUUAGAAUUGAUACCUUGCCAUUACUAUUGAGUUGCAAGAAUAUUUCGCUCUCCCUAGCUUUCAAGUUCUCGCCACCAAAUAAUUAGGAAAAUCCCUAAUGCCGUUAGCCCUAU